CUCCCGGCCUCGCACCCCAAUGUCUAAGCGCAGUCGCGUUCCGACUUCGCUUUCGGGGCGCGAGGCGGGGCCUUUGCUAGUGUCGUGUGGGCCGAGCUUUUCGGGUGGCUCCGGUGUCCCCGCCCCUCAGAGGCUCGAGAAGACCGAGUGAGAAGCUGAGAAGCGGACGGGGACGGCGGGAAAGAUGCCCCAGCCUCUGUAUCCAUGGGGAGGUAGUGCGAGUGGCAGUGAAGUUGGAUGGAUCAGACUGCGCAGACCGUGUUCCUCAGUUGGAGUGAUGUUCCUGGCCAGCUUUCCAGUGGCUUCUUCCCAGUGUCUUCUCCUGAUACCUACUUAUUCAUUCAUUCAGUCACUUAAGUCUACAGUGCAUAUAAUGCUUACUCUUCUUGGUACUCUGAGAUGAAUUUAAGACUGAUGCCACAUUGAGUAAUAAAGCAUAUGAGAUUAAUCGUUUCAAAUCCACAUUAAACAGUGUGCCUCUGUGAUAGAGUGCUUACUUGGCAUGUGCAAGAACCUGGAUUUGAUCCCUCGCAUCACAAAUAAGUAAAUAAAUAAACGUGAGGAGACUACCUGCAGGGACGUGCAAGUGCAAAUGUUUAAAGUGAAGCCACUUUGUGGAGGGGUAUUCAUAUUUAAUGCCUUAUUCUUGUACAUUACCAAGAGUCCCUCUCACAUCAACCAAAGGUAGCCAUUAUGGACAUCUGGGUGUAUUUAUUUGUAAUCUUUUAUCUAAUACUUAAUGUACAUACAUACUAAUCUUGAUAAGCACUCGUGUAUAUACAUGUAUAUAUGUGUACUGUAUGUACAAGUACAUGCAGAGGUUUAUCUAAAACAUAUCUAUCUAUCUAUAUGAAUUGAAUUGUAAAAAAUAAGUCAUGAGGGCUGGUAUUAUUUCCAGUAUACAGAACUGCACCGGUUGGGGAUAUAGCUCAGUGGCACAAGCGCCUGCCUGGAAGCGCAAGGUCUUGAGUUCUAUUCCCAGUAGCAAAAAAAAAAAAAAUUUAACUUAGAGAACUGUACCUUGUGUAUAGUAAGUACUCAGUAAAUAUUUGUUCAGUAUGAAUGGUUGUUAUUUGUAUAAUUUUUUUCAUUUUACAUUUAAUGAGCACUUCUCCAACCAUUUUUUGGUAGCAUGAGUUUUUAGGACUGAUUAUGUUCCAUUCUAGGUAUAUACUAUUCUUUAUUUAAGAUUUCUUUGGGGAAAAUUUAAGUAUUUCCCAAUAUUUUACUCUUAUAAACAACUUUUAGUAAAUAUUCUCAUACAUAAUUUAUGAAGUAUAUGUUUUAAUUUCUCAACAUGUACUCUGAUAAAGAAUCAAUGAAUAUAAACAUAUUUUAGGAUUUUGAAAACUUAAGAUUUUUGUGGGAAAUAUUACAUAAACUUCCACUCCUGUGACAACUUGACGAAAUAUCUGAUCUCUGAACCUUUACUAGCAUUUGGUACUUAAAAGAAAAAUUGCCUUCAUUUGAGUUCCUCUUACUCUAUUAAAGUUGACUUUUUUUUACACGUA